GACGAACGCUGGCGGCGUGCCUAAUACAUGCAAGUUGAGCGCUGAAGGUUGGUACUUGUCCCAACUGGAUAAGCAGCGAACGGGUGAGUAACGCGUGGGGAAUCUGCCUUUGAGCGGGGGACAACAUUUGGAAACGAAUGCUAAUACCGCAUAAAAACUUUAAACACACGUUUUAAGUUUGAAAGAUGCAAUUGCAUCACUCAAAGAUGAUCCCGCGUUGUAUUAGCUAGUUGGUGAGGUAAAGGCUCACCAAGGCGAUGAUACAUAGCCGACCUGAGAGGGGAAUAGGCCAAAUUGGGCCUGAGACACGGCCCAAACCCCUACGGGAGGCAGCAGUAGGGAACCUUCGGCAAAGGACGAAAGGCUGAACGAGCAACGCCGCGGGAGUGAAGAAGGUUUUCGGAUCGUAAAACUCUGUUGGUAGAGAAGAACGUUGGUGAGAGUGGAAAGCUCAUAAAGUGACGGUAACUACGCAGAAAGGGACGGCUAACUACGUG
rnacentral:rRNA from 1 species